rnacentral:pre_miRNA from 1 species
UAUAAGGGAUUUUGAGUUUUUGUUUGUAGUCUUUGAUCACUCGUCUUAUUCAAAAUAUUUUGGAAUUAUUUUUUUUUGUGACUUGCUUUAUUAUCCAAAGUACUUUAAGCACAACUUUUCGUUUUUUAUAUUUGCACAAAUUUUUUGAAUAAGACGAGUGGUCAAACAGUACAAGCAAAAACUCAAAAUCCCUUAUA